rnacentral:rRNA from 1 species
UGGUGCGGUCACACCAGCGUUAGUAUACCGAAUCCCAUUAGAACUCCAAAGUAAGCACGAUUGGGCAUAAUAGUAUUGGGAUGGGUGACCUCCCGGGAAGUCCUGGCUGCACCCUU